rnacentral:rRNA from 1 species
GAUGAACGCUGGCGGCGUGCCUAAUACAUGCAAGUCGAGCGAACGGACGAGAAGCUUGCUUCUCUGAUGUUAGCGGCGGACGGGUGAGUAACACGUGGAUAACCUACCUAUAAGACUGGGAUAACUUCGGGAAACCGGAGCUAAUACCGGAUAAUAUUUUGAACCGCAUGGUUCAAAAGUGAAAGACGGUCUUGCUGUCACUUAUAGAUGGAUCCGCGCUGCAUUAGCUAGUUGGUAAGGUAACGGCUUACCAAGGCAACGAUGCAUAGCCGACCUGAGAGGGUGAUCGGCCACACUGGAACUGAGACACGGUCCCGACUCCUACGGGAGGCAGCAGUAGGGAAUCUUCCGCAAUGGACGAAAGCCUGACGGAGCAACGCCGCGUGAGGGAUGAAGGUCUUCGGAUCGUAAAACUCUGUUAUUAGGGAAGAACAUAUGUGUAAGUAACUGUGCACAUCUUGACGGUACCUAAUCAGAAAGCCACGGCUAACUACGUG